rnacentral:lncRNA from 1 species
ACGGAUCUAUGUAAAGCCACCAUGUUUAAAACGUUAAGAAUUGUGGUAAAUGUUACAUAGAGAUCUAUGUAAAGCCACUUGUUGAAAAUCUAAAGCAUUGUUGGUAAUGUUACAUACAAGAUUCAUAUUGAUCUAUGUAAAUCCACCCUCUUCAGAUUCUAAAGCAUUGUUGGUAAUGUUACAUACAAGAUUCAUAUUGAUCUAUGUAAAGCCACCCUUUUCAGAUUCCAAAGCAUUGUUGGUAAUGUUACAUACAAGAUUCAUAUUGAUCUAUGUAAAGCCACUCUUUUCAGAUUCUAAAGCAUUGUUGGUAAUGUUACAUACAAGAUUCAUAUUGAUCUAUGUAAAGCCACCCUUUUCAGAUUCUAAAGCAUUGUUGGUAAUGUUACAUACAAGAUUCAUAUUGAUCUAUGUAAAGCCACCCUUUUCAGAUUUUAAAGCAUUGUUGGUAAUGUUACAUACAAGAUUCAUAUUGAUCUAUGUAAAGCCACCCUUUUCAGAUUCUAAAGCAUUGUUGGGAAUGUUACAUACAAGAUUCAUAUUGAUCUAUGUAAAGCCACCCUUUUCAGAUUCUAAAGCAUUGUUGGUAAUGUUACAUACAAGAUUCAUAUUGAUCUAUGUAAAGCCACCCUUUUCAGAUUCUAAAGCAUUGUUGGUAAUGUUAUUUACAAGAUUCAUAUUGAUCUAUGUAAAGCCACCCUGUUCAGAUUCUAAAGCAUUGUUGGUAAAGUUACAUACAAGAUUCAUAUUGAUCUAUGUGAAGCCACCCUUUUCAGAUUCUAAAGAGUUGUUGGUAAUGUUAUUUACAAGAUUCAUAUGUAUUUUUGUGAAAGAACCACGUAAAGCAGCUGUUGGUAAUAUAUUUACACAUUUAUAAUGUUCUAAUUAAUUGGUAACCAACCGGGUACGGGUCUAGUAUCAAUUUCAUUUUGGUGUAUGAAUAAUAAAAUUACCCAUAAUCCUUUAGAUUUCAAAACUGCAAAUUAUAAAAUAAAUGGGAUUUAAAUGAAUUGUAGUGACAAUUAACAUCCUAGAUGUCUACUACUGUUGUAAAUAGCAAAGAUGUCAAAUGAUAUAGGUGGAAUUGUGCAAUAAUUAACACGCUUGUUGUUUCUUUGUAAAAGACUGCCUAACCCUACAACAUAAUCAGCUUAACCAUUCAGAAAGCUUCAAAAGUAGACAGAUAAUUGAGUGAUCUGGUAAAUAAAAGACUGUCUAUAUCAAAUCAUUUUUUUUUUUCGAAAAGUUAGUUUCAUUAUUUCUUCUAAAAAACGAGUGAGAAAAAUUUUGGUUGUAUUGAAAUAUUUAUUAACAUUAAAAAAAGUCUUAAUAAAAUUAACGGUACCAAUUUUCUUGCACCAGAUGCGCAUUUCGACAAUACAUGUCUCGUCAGUGAUGCUCGUGGCCAAAAUAGUUGAAAUCCAAAGCUUAUAUAAAAAAGAUGAAGAGCUAUAAUCCAAAAGGUCCAAAAAGUAUAGCCAAAUAUUACUCGACCGUGGUAAUAGUGUGUAAUGAAGCGGAUUUGUGUCAGUUUAUAAAGAUAAAAUUAUUUUUAGAUAUGGAAAAAAGCUUUAUUUGUUACUAUAUCAGCA